AUAUCUUAGAUGACUACGCUUGGUAAAAAAAAUAAAAAAAAUAUACGCGUGCCAAAAAUAUACUAGAAAAUAUCGAAACUUUUAAUAUAAUUUCCAAAAGAGAAGGUCUUUUAUUUUUGGGUUUGGAAGAUCUAUAUAAAUCAUCCGAGCAAAAGCCAAAUCCUGUGUUUUCUGUUGCUUCUCUUUCAUAGAAUUUUACUAUUUUUCUUUCUAUUGCGACGUUUGAAUCUGACCACGCCUAUUUUUUUGUUUUGAUUUGCAGAGAUAACUGAAAUUAUAAUCGAUUAACACGACGUCUGUUAUUGGUGUUGCUGCUUCAUUUGCUCUAACUGUACAUGUAUUGUGGAUGAUGCGGCUGCUGCACCUUUCCUAGCUGGCGUCAAGCAAUAUCAAGGGAUAACUUCAGUUGGGCAUGGCAUCGUGCCAACAAGGUUCAUCUUUCUCAAAACCAGAACAUUGUAUCUGAUCAGCAGCGGAUGCAAAAGCAUUUUUACCCUCAACACAACCAGCUAAUCCUUUAAAGACACUUGGUCAAAUGCCAGUUCAAAUUUGAUGUGCCAUACUUCUUACCACCAGCCCUAUAUUUACCACCUUCACAGUAGUUACAUUUCCCCCAUUUAAUACCAGCUUCAUCAACACUCUUUUGGAAAUGCUCCCACACCGAAGAUGUUCUGUUCCGCUUCAUACUUUCCCUGACCUCAGGUUGAGAAGAUGGUGGAGGUGGAGGUGGCGGAGAUAUAACAACCCUGACCCUUUGUUGCACGGAUUUAGAUGCAUCUUGAGAGGGAAUAGGAGGUCUCGUUGACAUCAAUUCUGUAAUCUCAACCAUGCUUCCUCACUAGAAAGAACAAGUGAUAUGAAUAGAAAGCAAAAAAAGUUAACAGGCUUCAAAGGGUCCUAAUAACAACACUGAAAUCUAGAGAACAACACUGAAAUCUAGAAUUAGACAGUAGUUAUAUCCGUCUGUUGGUUAAGAUACCCUUGGAGAAUUAGAGGGUUCUAUUGGUAUCGAUGAUAGUGCUAUUCUGCGUUGUAUUGACUUGGAAUAAGGAAUUUGAGACUCAUGUAUAGAUAUUUAUUGGGAAAGUGGCAUUCGAGAUAUUCUGCAGACAUACAAGCAUUGUGGAGACAAGUUAUUUGCGAGAAAACAUAUAUACUGGACUCCAGUGUCAACUGUCUAUUUAAAUUACAAAACAAAUCUCUCCUUUUCUCACCCACCUAGCAAAGGUCUUAAAUGUACUCACUCACCUGACAUGAUGCUAAUGUUCAAUCAAACCAAUGAUUUUCAUUAAUACUACUAUUACUGUGAGCAGAAUCUAAAGCUAAUUCAAUUGCUUUAGAUAAACCUUUAAAGACAUGGGUGUCACAUAAUCAAAAUCUCACUGAAAUUGUUUGAAAUAUUGCUAAUCUAAACAUUUAAAGACAUGGGU